GAUGAACGCUGGCGGUAUGCCUAAUACAUGCAAGUCGUGCGGAAAGGCCUCUUCGGAGGUACUCGAGCGGCGGACGGCAGAGUAACGCGUAGGAACAUACCCCCAAACUGAGGGAUAACUGCUCGAAAGAGUAGCUAAUACCGCAUGUGGUCUUCGGACUAAAGCUUCGGCGGUUUGGGAAUGGCCUGCGUUCGAUUAGCUAGUUGGUGAGGUAAUUGCUCACCAAGGCGACGAUCGAUAGCUGGUCUGAGAGGAUGAUCAGCCUGACUGGAACUGAGACACGGUCCAGACUCCUACGGGAGGCAGCAGUAGGGAAUUUUCCACAAUGGGCGAAAGCCUGAUGGAGCAAUACCGCGUGCAGGAUGAAGGCCUUCGGGUCGUAAACUGCUUUAUGUGAGAAGAAUUUGACGGUAACACAUGAAUAAGGGUACGGCUAACGUAACGUGCCAGCAGCGCGGUAAU
rnacentral:rRNA from 1 species